GACGAACGCUGGCGGCGUGCUUAACACAUGCCAGUCGAACGGAAAGGCCCUGCUUUUGUGGGGUGCUCGAGUGGCGAACGGGUGAGUAACACGUGAGUAACCUGCCCUUGACUUUGGGAUAACUUCAGGAAACUGGGGCUAAUACCGGAUAGGAGCUCCUGCUGCAUGGUGGGGGUUGGAAAGUUUCGGCGGUUGGGGAUGGACUCGCGGCUUAUCAGCUUGUUGGUGGGGUAGUGGCUUACCAAGACUUCGACGGGUAGCCGGCCUGAGAGGGUGACCGGCCACAUUGGGACUGAGAUACGGCCCAGACUCCUACGGGAGGCAGCAGUGGGGAAUAUUGCACAAUGGGCGGAAGCCUGAUGCAGCAACGCCGCGUGCGGGAUGACGGCCUUCGGGUUGUAAACCGCUUUCGCCUGUGACGAAGCGGGAGUGACGGUAAUGGGUAAAGAAGCACCGGCUAACUACGUG
rnacentral:rRNA from 1 species